AGGAGGGGGAGGAGGGGAGGAGGAGAUGGGCUAAAACAUCCGCCUCUGCUCUAAGGCCAUUGCCCCUCGUGGACCAACCAGCUGAGGCCGGGAGAUCGUCCCGAAGGUCUGGAAGGUCAGGUGGAAGGUGGCGCUGAGUGACUCUGGUGACUGCCAGAGGUCGGCCUCCGGCAGCGGCUGUGAGCGGAGCAGUUUCCCGGAGGCUGGGGGCCUGGCGGUGGUGUCAUGAACGCCUCGCA